rnacentral:rRNA from 1 species
GUAAACUUUGAUAGUAAAAUACAAUUACUACCCGCCAGAGUACUACAAGCGAAUAGCUCGAAACCCAACGGACUUGGCGGUGCCCCAGACCCACCUAGAGGAGCCUGUUCUAUAACUGACACCCCCCGUUAAACCUCACCACUCCUAGCCAACCCAGUGUAUAUACCACCGUCGCACGCUCACCCUAUGAAGGUCUAAUAGUAUGCAAAAUGAUUAAAACUCAGCACGUCAGGUCGAGGUGUAGCGAAUGGAGCGGGAAGAAAUGGGCUACAUUUUCUAACACAGAAAACACGGAUAAUUCUAUGAAACUAGAAUUUCANGGGGGAUUUAGCAGUAAAAAGAAAAUAGAGUGUUCUAUUGAAACCG